AAGUACACGGGUCAUAGCGUUGUUGCUCUCCUUCGCAGCUAUCUUUUGAAGAGGUCCUGCUAUGUUAGCGUCAAUGAACAGUCAUCUAUUGUGUACAAGGCCACUA
rnacentral:lncRNA from 1 species